CUGGUCUCCAAGGAUUUAGAUCCUGCUGAUGCCUUUCCCCUUCCAAUUCUGCUCUGGAACUCUUCCAAUGGAGUCUCCUAAUCCAGGUCUGUGAGGAGGAAGCUCUGCGGCUAGUGUGUGCUCCGGUGAAGCCUUUGGAAAUUAGAAGAAAGGCGAGUGGCAUCAGGAAGCAUGAUUUUUUGUUUCAUCAAAAAUUACAAGAAGAGUGAGAAAGAAAUAUACAUCUAGACAUAUCAAACUUAAACUGGAAAACACUAAUGAUAAAGAAAAUAUUUUAAACUUGUAAAGAGAGUAAGACAAAAAUAUUUCUUAAAAAGAAACAAAAAAUUGACAGAAUUGUCAACAGCAAGUAUGGAAGCAAAUGGAACAAGAUAUAAAAAACAUUGAGAAAAAGAACUGUCAGCCAAGAAAUGUAACCUCAGUUAAAUAUGUGGAGCAAAAUAAAGACAUUUUGCAGACAAACAAAAAAUUUAUAAUCAUUAAAGAUAGUUCUAAAAAUGUACGUCAGGAAGAUGGAAAAUCAUCACAGUAGAAAAGUCUGAGAUACUAGAAGGAAUACUGAUUUUUCAAAAUGGUGAAUUUGUGGUUAAAUAAUAAACAACACAUUGCAUAAUAGGAUAAAAAGGAUGUUUGUAUUGUGGAGUAUUUAUUUUAAUGAAUAAUAUACUAAAUUUGACAUUCUGAUUCAAGUAAUUCUAAAUUAUUAGAUUGAAGGGAAGGGGAAGAAUGUCCAUAGACAUCAAAUUCCCUCUUACAUAUUUUUAUCUUAAAUAUGAAUGACAUAAUUUUAGGGUAAUUACUAAGUUAAUAGAAAUCAAUCUUAUAACAAAUAGAAAGAUAAAAGUUAUAUCCAGGAAACUUUAAAAACAAACAAACAAAAGAACUAAUGAAAACAAUAGAAAGAAACAUGAAGCAGAAAGAGAGCAAUUGGGAGAAAAGCAUGAGAGAUAAAAUGUUUAAUAGAGUAAG